AUGCAAGUCGAACGAGAAAAGCCCUUCGGGGCUGAGUAGAGUGGCGCACGGGUGAGUAACACGUGGGUAACGUACCCUCAGGUGGGGAAUAACGGGCCGAAAGGCUCGCUAAUACCGCAUAAGACCACAGCCUCUGCGGGGGCAGGGGUCAAAGGGGGCUGCUUUCGGGCAGCUCUCGCCAGAGGAGCGGCUCGCGGACCAUUAGCUAGUUGGUGGGGUAAUGGCCUACCAAGGCUUCGAUGGUUAGCUGGUCUGAGAGGAUGAUCAGCCACACUGGAACUGGAACACGGUCCAGACUCCUACGGGAGGCAGCAGUCGGGAAUAUUGCGCAAUGGGGGAAACCCUGACGCAGCAACGCCGCGUGGGUGAAGUAGGCCUUCGGGUUGUAAAGCCCUGUCAGUUGGGAAGAAACCAUGGAGUAAACCUCCAUGGCUGACGGUACCUUCAAAGGAAGCACCGGCUAACUCCGUGCCAGCAGCCGCGGUAAUACGGAGGGUGCAAGCGUUGUUCGGAAUUACUGGGCGUAAAGCGCGUGUAGGCGGUUUGGUCAGUCUGAUGUGAAAGCCCGGGGCUCAACCCCGGAAGUGCAUUGGAUACUGCCUGACUUGAGUACUGGAGGGGAAAGCGGAAUUCCGAGUGUAGAGGUGAAAUUCGUAGAGAUUCGGAGGAACACCUGUGGCGAAAGCGGCUUUCUGGACAGAUACUGACGCUGAGACGCGAAAGCGUGGGGAGCAAACAGGAUUAGAUACCCUGGUAGUCCACGCAGUAAACGAUGGAUACUAGUGCUGCGGGUAACCACCCCUGCAGUGCCGUAGCUAACGCAUUAAGUAUCCCGCCUGGGGAGUACG
rnacentral:rRNA from 1 species